AGGUCUUUCCAGGUUGGGAUGGAAUGGUUUUUUAAACCAAGGCCUGGUUUUCCAUGGAAUAGCCAUUUCUCUGUGGAUGUCCAUUAAGGUCGUUCCUAAUUUUUCCCUGUUACAAACUCUGCUGCAGACCAUGCUUUCAUGAACCAUCAUGAUGAUGGUAACAACAGCAUUAACAAUUAACUGACACUUAGAAAGUACUUAUUUAUGCACCUGGCAUUGUUCUUCACAUCAUUGAAAUCCAAGAGGCAGUGUUCAGGUGAGGAAGUUGAACUCCAGGGAAGAUGAGUAACCAUGGGAACAGAGGAAUGUGCUAGCGAAAGAGGAAGAAAGAGGGCGAGUAGGGGGUGGAGCAGAGAGAGAGACAAGCAGAUUCCCUGAUGAGGAGGGAGUCCGACAUGAGGCUCAAUCCCACAACCCUGGAACCAUGCAUGACCUGACUUGAGACCAGGAGUCUGCUGCUUAACCGACUGAACCACUCAGACGCCAGACGCCCCCUCAAAAACGUCUUAAAUUAGAAAUACUGCCUUUAUACUAUCAUAUUUUAUGAAACAGUUUUAUUAAAACUUCACUUGCAUAUUAAA